UACACCUCUCAAGUCAUUUCA
rnacentral:siRNA from 1 species